UCUGGGGGCCCCUUGAGGUAGUUUCUGGGGGCUCCUCGAGGUGGCUUCUGAGCCCCUCGAGGCUGCUUCUGGGGACCCCUCAAGGUGGUGACUUCUGGGGGCCCCUUGAGGUGGCUUCUGGGGACCCCUCGAGGUGGCUUCUGGCAGCCUAACCCACUGUGAUACCCAUAUAGAGAUGUCCUUGCAUGUACCGUCAUGGUUAAUUCUCCCAUUCUUACUCCCCACAUGUAGCCAUCCCUCUUCCAACUCUCCGCACUGGUUCCCCUUUGGGCUGAAAAACAACUGAUUCCCUCUGUGAGCUGUUGAAUCCCUUCACUAAAUUGGUCAAGGGGCCGCAAGAACUUGAGAAUCACAAAGUGGGCAGGGGAUUUGAGAAAUCAUAGCAUGGCCCUCUGAGUGUGGGAUCAGAGAGCUUCCGUCCUAACUCUGCCACUAACUGUCUUCUACUCCUGGCCUCAGUUUCCUGAUCUGUAAAAUGAAAAUAUCGAACUAAAUAACCUGUAGGGUCCCAUUCAAAUCCAGAUUUAGAAUGCUGCACAAUAGAUAAAAAAUGGGAUGGUUGUUAGGGAUAUCAGGGAAGGAUUUUGAAAUUUACAAAGCAAUUUAAAAAAUAACAAUAGUUUUUUAUUUUUCCAUAGUUUUCAACAUUUACCCUUGCAAAAUCUUGUGUUCCAAAUUUUUCUCUCCCCUCCCCUCAGCAAGUAAUCCAAUAUAGGUUAAACACGAGCAGUUCUUCCAAACAUAUUUUCGCAUUUGUCAUGCUGCGCGAGAAAAAUCAGAUCAAAAAGGGAAAAAACCAGGAGAAAGGAAAAAAAAAACAA